rnacentral:rRNA from 1 species
GGGUUGUGAGGUUAAGUGACUAAGCGUACACGGUGGAUGCCUAGGCAGUCAGAGGCGAUGAAGGACGUGCUAAUCUGCGAUAAGCGUCGGUGAGCUGAUAUGAAGCGUUAUUAGCCGGCGAUGUCCGAAUGGGGAAACCCAGUGCAAUCCGUUGCACUAUCGUUAAGUGAAUACAUAGCUUAACGAGGCGAACCAGGGGAACUGAAACAUCUAAGUACCCUGAGGAAAAGAAAUCAACCGAGAUUCCCCUAGUAGCGGCGAGCGAACGGGGAAGAGCCCAGAACCUGAAUCAGUUUGUGCAUUAGUGGAAGCGUCUGGAAAGUCGCGCGAUACAGGGUGAUAGCCCCGUACACGAAGGUGCACAGCUGUGAGUUCGAUGAGUAGGGCGGGACACGUGUUAUCCUGUCUGAAUAUGGGGGACCAUCCUCCAAGGCUAAAUACUCCUGACUGACCGAUAGUGAACCAGUACCGUGAGGGAAAGGCGAAAAGAACCCCGGCGAGGGGAGUGAAAUAGAACCUGAAACCGUGUACGUACAAGCAGUGGGAGCAUCCUUCGGGGUGUGACUGCGUACCUUUUGUAUAAUGGGUCAGCGACUUAUAUUUUGUAGCAAGGUUAACCGAAUAGGGGAGCCGUAGGGAAACCGAGUCUUAACUGGGCGUCUAGUUGCAAGGUAUAGACCCGAAACCCGGUGAUCUAGCCAUGGGCAGGUUGAAGGUUGGGUAACACUAACUGGAGGACCGAACCGACUAAUGUUGAAAAAUUAGCGGAUGACUUGUGGCUGGGGGUGAAAGGCCAAUCAAACCGGGAGAUAGCUGGUUCUCCCCGAAAGCUAUUUAGGUAGCGCCUCGUGAACUCAUCUUCGGGGGUAGAGCACUGUUUCGGCUAGGGGGUCAUCCCGACUUACCAACCCGAUGCAAACUACGAAUACCGAAGAAUGUUAUCACGGGAGACACACGGCGGGUGCUAACGUCCGUCGUGAAGAGGGAAACAACCCAGACCGCCAGCUAAGGUCCCAAAGUCAUGGUUAAGUGGGAAACGAUGUGGGAAGGCAUAGACAGCCAGGAUGUUGGCUUAGAAGCAGCCAUCAUUUAAAGAAAGCGUAAUAGCUCACUGGUCGAGUCGGCCUGCGCGGAAGAUGUAACGGGGCUAAACCAUGCACCGAAGCUGCGGCAGCGACGCUUAGGCGUUGUUGGGUAGGGGAGCGUUCUGUAAGCCUGCGAAGGUGGCCUGUGAGGGCUGCUGGAGGUAUCAGAAGUGCGAAUGCUGACAUAAGUAACGAUAAAGCGGGUGAAAAGCCCGCUCGCCGGAAGACCAAGGGUUCCUGUCCAACGUUAAUCGGGGCAGGGUAAGUCGACCCCUAAGGCGAGGCUGAAAAGCGUAGUCGAUGGGAAACAGGUUAAUAUUCCUGUACUUGGUGUUAUUGCGAAGGGGGGGACGGAGAAGGCUAGACCGGCCGGGCGACGGUUGUCCCGGUUUAAGCGUGUAGGUGUGGUAACUUGGCAAAUCCGGUUACCUUUAACACUGAGGCGUGAUGACGAGGCACUACGGUGCUGAAGUGGUUAAUGCCCUGCUUCCAGGAAAAGCCUCUAAGCUCCAGAUAACACUGAAUCGUACCCCAAACCGACACAGGUGGUCAGGUAGAGAAUACCAAGGCGCUUGAGAGAACUCGGGUGAAGGAACUAGGCAAAAUGGUGCCGUAACUUCGGGAGAAGGCACGCUGGCACGUAGGUGAAGUCCCUUGCGGAUGGAGCCGAAGCCAGUCGAAGAUACCAGCUGGCUGCAACUGUUUAAUAAAAACACAGCACUCUGCAAACACGAAAGUGGACGUAUAGGGUGUGACGCCUGCCCGGUGCUGGAAGGUUAAUUGAUGGGGUCAGCCGCAAGGCGAAGCUCUUGAUCGAAGCCCCAGUAAACGGCGGCCGUAACUAUAACGGUCCUAAGGUAGCGAAAUUCCUUGUCGGGUAAGUUCCGACCUGCACGAAUGGCGUAAUGAUGGCCAGGCUGUCUCCACCCGAGACUCAGUGAAAUUGAACUCGCUGUGAAGAUGCAGUGUACCCGCGGCAAGACGGAAAGACCCCGUGAACCUUUACUAUAGCUUGACACUGAACAUUGAACCUUGAUGUGUAGGAUAGGUGGGAGGCUUUGAAGUGUGGACGCCAGUCUGCAUGGAGCCGACCUUGAAAUACCACCCUUUAAUGUUUGAUGUUCUAACCUGGCCCCGUGAUCCGGGGUAGGGACAGUGUCUGGUGGGUAGUUUGACUGGGGCGGUCUCCUCCCAAAGAGUAACGGAGGAGCACGAAGGUUAGCUAAUCCUGGUCGGACAUCAGGAGGUUAGUGCAAAGGCAUAAGCUAGCUUGACUGCGAGAGUGACGGCUCGAGCAGGUGCGAAAAGCAGGUCUUAGUGAUCCGGUGGUUCUGAAUGGAAGGGCCAUCGCUCAACGGAUAAAAAGGUACUCCGGGGAUAACAGGCUGAUACCGCCCAAGAGUUCAUAUCGACGGCGGUGUUUGGCACCUCGAUGUCGGCUCAUCACAUCCUGGGGCUGAAGUAGGUCCCAAGGGUAUGGCUGUUCGCCAUUUAAAGUGGUACGCGAGCUGGGUUUAGAACGUCGUGAGACAGUUCGGUCCCUAUCUGCCGUGGGCGUAGGAAGAUUGAGAGGGGCUGCUCCUAGUACGAGAGGACCGGAGUGGACGCACCGCUGGUGUUCGGGUUGUGAUGCCAAUUGCAUUGCCCGGUAGCUACGUGCGGAAAAGAUAAGCGCUGAAAGCAUCUAAGCGCGAAACUUGCCUCGAGAUGAGUCUUCCCUUGGACCUUGAGUCCACUGAAGGAACGUUUAAGACUAAGACGUUGAUAGGCUGGGUGUGUAAGCGUAGCGAUACGUUGAGCUAACCAGUACUAAUGAUCCGUGAGACUUAACCUUACAACACCGAAGGUGUUUUAG